rnacentral:rRNA from 1 species
CAGCUCUCCGAGUGGUAGGGACGAUUAUUGGGCUUAAAGCGUCCGUAGCCGGCUCAGCAAGUCCUCCGUUAAAUCCAGCGAUUCAAUCGUUGGGCUGCGGGGGAUACUGUUGGGCUUGGGGACGAGAGAGGCCGACGGUAUUCUCGGAGUAGGGGUGAAAUCCUAUAAUUCCGGGAGGACCACCAGUGGCGAAGGCUGUCGGCUAGAACGAGCUCGACGGUGAGGGACGAAAGCUGGGGGAGCAAACCGGAUUAGAGACCCGAGUAGUCC